rnacentral:tRNA from 1 species
UCGGGUGUGGCCAAGCGGUAAGGCAUCGGUCUUUGGAACCGAGAUCCCUGGUUCGAAUCCAGGCACCCGAGCUA